rnacentral:rRNA from 1 species
UACGGAGGGUGCAAGCGUUAUCCGGAUUCACUGGGUUUAAAGGGUGCGUAGGCGGGCAGGUAAGUCAGUGGUGAAAUCUCCGAGCUUAACUCGGAAACUGCCAUUGAUACUAUUUGUCUUGAAUAUUGUGGAGGUAAGCGGAAUAUGUCAUGUAGCGGUGAAAUGCUUAGAUAUGACAUAGAACACCAAUUGCGAAGGCAGCUUACUACACAAUGAUUGACGCUGAGGCACAAAAGCGUGGGGAUCAAACAGG